AUUGAACGCUGGCGGAAUGCUUUACACAUGCAAGUCGAACGGCAGCACGGACUUCGGUCUGGUGGCGAGUGGCGAACGGGUGAGUAAUGUAUCGGAACGUGCCCAGUCGUGGGGGAUAACGUAGUGAAAAUUACGCUAAUACCGCAUACGAUCUAUGGAUGAAAGCGGGGGAUCGCAAGACCUCGCGCGAUUGGAGCGGCCGAUAUCAGAUUAGGUAGUUGGUGGGGUAAAGGCCCACCAAGCCAACGAUCUGUAGCUGGUCUGAGAGGACGACCAGCCAAACUGGAACUGAGACACGGUCCAGACUCCUACGGGGGGCAGCAGUGGGGAAUUUUGGACAAUGGGCGAAAGCCUGAUCCAGCCAUUCCGCGUGCAGGAUGAAGGCCCUCGGGUUGUAAACUGCUUUUGUACAGAACGAAGAGGUUUCUACUAAUACUAGGAGCUCAUGACGGUACUGUAAGAAUAAGCACCGGCUAACUACGUGCCAGCCGCCGCGGUAA
rnacentral:rRNA from 1 species